rfam:Candidatus Parvarchaeum acidophilus ARMAN-5 ARM5contig_4516, whole genome shotgun sequence.
GCCCUCAUAGUUUAGCUUGGACAGAAUACCGGUUUCCUAAACCGGGUACCCAGGUUCAAAUCCUGGUGAGGGCA